AGUGAACGCUGGCGGUAGGCCUAACACAUGCAAGUCGAGCGGCAGCACAGUAAGAGCUUGCUCUUACGGGUGGCGAGUGGCGGACGGGUGAGGAAUACAUCGGAAUCUACUUUUUCGUGGGGGAUAACGUAGGGAAACUUACGCUAAUACCGCAUACGACCUACGGGUGAAAGCAGGGGAUCUUCGGACCUUGCGCGAUUGAAUGAGCCGAUGUCGGAUUAGCUAGUUGGCGGGGUAAAGGCCCACCAAGGCGACGAUCCGUAGCUGGUCUGAGAGGAUGAUCCGCCACACUGGAACUGAGACACGGUCCAGACUCCGACGGGAGGCAGCAGUGGGGAAUAUUGGACAAUGGGCGCAAGCCUGAUCCAGCCAUACCGCGUGGGUGAAGAAGGCCUUCGGGUUGUAAAGCCCUUUUGUUGGGAAAGAAAAGCAGCAGGUUAAGACCCCGCUGUUCUGACGGUACCCAAAGAAUAAGCACCGGCUAACUUCGU
rnacentral:rRNA from 1 species